CUCCAACGAGCGCAAGCCUGAUGCAGCGACGCCGCGUGGGGGAUGAAGGCCUUCGGGUUGUAAACCCCUUUCAGCAGGGAAGAAGCGAAAGUGACGGUACCUGCAGAAGAAGCGCCGGCUAACUACGUGCCAGCAGCCGCGGUAAUACGUAGGGCGCAAGCGUUGUCCGGAAUUAUUGGGCGUAAAGAGCUCGUAGGCGGUUUGUCGCGUCUGCUGUGAAAACCCGAGGCUCAACCUCGGGCUUGCAGUGGGUACGGGCAGACUAGAGUGCGGUAGGGGAGACUGGAAUUCCUGGUGUAGCGGUGGAAUGCGCAGAUAUCAGGAGGAACACCGAUGGCGAAGGCAGGUCUCUGGGCCGCAACUGACGCUGAGGAGCGAAAGCAUG
rnacentral:rRNA from 1 species